ACUGCACACAGAGCAUUUCAGUAACGUUACCUCCGCUGUGUUCGGUAAUGUGAGAGUAACAUUAAAUUAAGAUGUGAACACGUGUUAAUAAUCCAAAAACUGCAGAGAGAACAGAACCAGUGCAGGCGCUGUCCCUGUUUCAGGCUUCACGCUCAGGUAAAUUAAGGUCACUGGUUUAUAUUAAUUACAUACAGCACACCUAAUCCAACUAAUCAACUAACAACUAACUUAUCAACUAACUCUCUGCCCUGGCUGAGGAGAGCUGUGUGUUACUCCAAAACCGCAGAGCUAACCCAGCUAACUGAAGAACUGUCUCUCAGCUCCAUGUUCCUCUACCACCAUCAUCUCUGUGAGUAUCUGUGUGAUUCUGCUGCUGAUUGGAGGAUUAACUCUGAUCUUCUACAAGCUGAGAUGCUGCAGGACUGGAGACUCCGCCCACAUCAGCCAAACAUCUGGAACUAAUGAUACAAAUGAUGGUGAUUAUGAAAAUGAUCCACGUAGAACACAGAAGAACAUCAAUAUGAGCCCAGUCUACCAGAACAAGGGCCCCAACACCAACCAACCAGAUUCAGUCUACCAGACCCUAAACCCCAACACCAACCAAUUAGAUUCCGUCUACCAGACCCUAAACCCCAACAGCAUCCAAUCAGAUUCAGACUACCAGACCCUAAACCCCAACACCAUCCAAACAGAUUCAGUCUACCAGACCCUGAACCCCAAC